UUGACAGCCGGUGACCGGAGUCAGUGAGUCAGGAAACAAGCCGAACCGUGCCGCGCCGGGGUUAGACAGAGAGCUCGACCCGGUGUCUCCACACACACAGAGCCGUAGCCUUUAUCUGAGGAUGGAAGGACAAGCGAAGGGGACAUUCACUGUCGGAUAAAUCACCGAGACGGAGAAAACGCACAGAAUUCAGGCGGGAAUCAUCUGAAACCGCCCGUUAGGAGUGAGACGGACCUGCCUGGGUGUUACGGUGAUUCUGGGCAGGUAAACGUUAGCAGGUAGCCCGGCUAGCUAGUCACGCAGCAGGGAGCUAGCCCACAGGUAGCUAGCAGCAAGCGUUUUAACUAACUAAUUAACGAGUUAGGGUGGAUGAACUGUUGCCAGACCCCAAAACGACAUCUUAGCACGGGUGAUUUUUACCUUUCUAAUUACCAGCUGCCUUUGUAAACGACUCUAAACUCCCCUUUGUUAUUGUCUUUUUUUUUUUUUUAAGGAGAAACUAGUGGUUGCUAGAGCUGAAGGGUUGAUUGACAGCUUGUCACAACCGGUUUUCCAGAUGUGGACUCGGCACGUUUUGGAUUAGCUUGCCCGGAGCCGCAGGACUGGCUGCGGACCAGGAAUGGCCUGGCUGCAACAAACUCUUGAGUGGACUCGACUCUAAACUGCUUCAACAAGCGAUGGACUGACACGUUAAGCUAGUCAGUUUAGGGAAAGGUCAUUCAGCCGUAAAUUUAAAAAAAAAAGACAGGCUGUCAGCUGGGUCACAAACACACACGAGGGAGUGUUUUUACAGGGAAGUGGAAGAAGAUGCACAGGACGGAAAACAAGAACAAGAGGAAACUCUGUAACAUGGAGCAGCUUCAGAGGGAAGAGAAGGAUGCGGCAGACCUCCCACGGUAUUUCCUCUUAUUCAGGAUCGUCACCGUGAAUCCAGAUUGUUUGCGCAGCUACAAUCUUGGUAAAAGCGAACAAAAACAGCAGCCGAGAAAGCUUCAGAACUCAGAACAGCCUGAAAACACCCAGUCACACGUCAGUAUAAUAACUUUACAGGCUGCUGAUUUAUGGUAAUGGAAAAGCGUUAUAAACUGGGCGCUUUGUGUGCACACAUUUUAUUCAACAAUUAAAGGAAUAAAAUAAAAACCUGCUGAGACAAA